ACGCUCUACACCUACGGGGCAGCAGUGGGGAAUAUUGCACAAUGGGGGAAACCCUGAUGCAGCGACGCCGCGUGGAGGAAGAAGGUCUUCGGAUUGUAAACUCCUGUUGUUGGGGAAAAAGAGGAUGGUACCCAACAAGGAAGUGACGGCUAACUACGUGCCCGCAGCCGCGGUAAUCUGAGCGGGCUGGCAAGGC
rnacentral:rRNA from 1 species